GUUUGAUCCUGGCUCAGGAUGAACGCUAGCGACAGGCUUAACACAUGCAAGUCGAGGGGCAGCACAGGUAGCAAUACCGGGUGGCGACCGGCGCACGGGUGAGUAACGCGUAUGCAACUUACCUAUCAGAGGGGGAUAGCCCGGCGAAAGUCGGAUUAAUACCCCAUGAAACAGGGGUCCCGCAUGGGAAUAUUUGUUAAAGAUUCAUCGCUGAUAGAUAGGCAUGCGUUCCAUUAGGCAGUUGGCGGGGUAACGGCCCACCAAACCGACGAUGGAUAGGGGUUCUGAGAGGAAGGUCCCCCACAUUGGUACUGAGACACGGACCAAACUCCUACGGGAGGCAGCAGUGAGGAAUAUUGGUCAAUGGCCGAGAGGCUGAACCAGCCAAGUCGCGUGAAGGAAGAAGGAUCUAUGGUUUGUAAACUUCUUUUAUAGGGGAAUAAAGUGGAGGACGUGUCCUUUUUUGUAUGUACCCUAUGAAUAAGCAUCGGCUAACUCCGUGCCAGCAGCCGCGGUAAUACGGAGGAUGCGAGCGUUAUCCGGAUUUAUUGGGUUUAAAGGGUGCGUAGGCGGCUUUAUAAGUUAGUGGUAAAAUUUCGGAGCUUCACUCCGGUCCGCCAUUAAAACUGUAGAGCUAGAGAAUGGACGAGGUAGGCGGAAUAAGUUAAGUAGCGGUGAAAUGCAUAGAUAUAACUUAGAACUCCGAUAGCGAAGGCAGCUUACCAGACCAUAACUGACGCUGAUGCACGAGAGCGUGGGUAGCGAACAGGAUUAGAUACCCUGGUAGUCCACGCCGUAAACGAUGCUCACUGGAUCUUGGCGAUACACUGCCAGGGUUCAAGCGAAAGUAUUAAGUGAGCCG
rnacentral:rRNA from 1 species